rnacentral:rRNA from 1 species
UACGAAGGGUGCAAGCGUUACUCGGAAUUACUGGGCGUAAAGGGUGCGUAGGUGGUUGUUUAAGUCUGCUGUGAAAGCCCCGGGCUCAACCUGGGAAUGGCAGUGGAUACUGGACAGCUAGAGUGCGGUAGAGGGUAGUGGAAUUCCCGGUGUAGCAGUGAAAUGCGUAGAGAUCGGGAGGAACACCAAUGGCGAAGGCGGCUACCUGGACCAGCACUGACACUGAAGCACGAAAGCGUGGGGAGCAAACAGG